AAUGUCUUUAAAACCGGUCCCGUGAGGCCGGCAAGGCAUGAUAUAAACGAGGACAAGUCUGUCUGCCGACGAGCACCUGCGGGUGCUUUAUCUGCAGCAGGACUGUUUCAAGGGAUACGUAUAUACUCAUGCCGCGGGGCAUGAGUAUUUUUUUAU
rfam:Salinicoccus alkaliphilus DSM 16010 genome assembly, contig: EJ97DRAFT_scaffold00001.1